rnacentral:rRNA from 1 species
UUAUUCGGCGCANGCUGGCGGCGUGCUUAACACAUGCCAGUCGAGCGGUAAGGCCUCUUCGGGGGUACACUGAGCGGCGAACGGGUGAGUAACACGUGGGUGACCUGCCCUCAGCUCUGGGAUAAGCCUGGGAAACUGGGUCUAAUACCGGAUAUGACCAUUUGCCGCAUGGUGGGUGGUGGAAAGUUUUUUCGGCUGGGGAUGGGCCCGCGGCCUAUCAGCUUGUUGGUGGGGUGAUGGCCUACCAAGGCGACUUCYGGUAGCCNGCCUGA